rnacentral:misc_RNA from 1 species
UAUGAAGAACGUAGCGAAAUGCGAUACUUGGUGUGAAUUGCAGAAUCCCGUGAACCAUCGAGUCUUUGAACGCAAGUUGCGCCCGAAGCCACUAGGCCGAGGGCACGCCUGCCUGGGCGUCACACGUCGUUGCCCCCCCCCCAUCUACUCCUUCGGGAUUGCGGGGGGCGGAUGAUGGCCUCCCGUGCGCCUAGCCGCGCGGUUGGCAUAAAUACCAAGUCCUCGGCGACGCACGCCACGACAAUCGGUGGUUGCGAAACCUCGGUUGCCCGUCGUGUGCGUUCGUCGCGCAUCGAGGGCUCGAAAAAAUGCUCGGCUCCGGCUCGGCUUUCAACGCGACCCCAGGUCAGGCGGGGUUACCCGCUGAAUUUAAGCAUAUCAAUAAGCGGAGGA